AUUGAACGCUGGCGGCAGGCCUAACACAUGCAAGUCGAGCGGAUGAAGGGAGCUUGCUCCUGGAUUCAGCGGCGGACGGGUGAGUAAUGCCUAGGAAUCUGCCUGGUAGUGGGGGAUAACGUCCGGAAACGGGCGCUAAUACCGCAUACGUCCUGAGGGAGAAAGUGGGGGAUCUUCGGACCUCACGCUAUCAGCUGAGUCUAGGUCGGAUUAGCUAGUUGGUGGGGUAAAGGCCUACCAAGGCGACGAUCCGUAACUGGUCUGAGAGGAUGAUCAGUCACACUGGAACUGAGACACGGUCCAGACUCCUACGGGAGGCAGCAGUGGGGAAUAUUGGACAAUGGGCGAAAGCCUGAUCCAGCCAUGCCGCGUGUGUGAAGAAGGUCUUCGGAUUGUAAAGCACUUUAAGUUGGGAGGAAGGGCAGUAAGUUAAUACCUUGCUGUUUUGACGUUACCAACAGAAUAAGCACCGGCUAACUUCGUG
rnacentral:rRNA from 1 species